rnacentral:rRNA from 1 species
GACGAACGCUGGCGGCGUGCUUAACGCAUGCAAGUCGAACGGAAAGGCCCUGCUUUUGUGGGGUGCUCGAGUGGCGAACGGGUGAGUAACACGUGAGUAACCUGCCCUUGACUUUGGGAUAACUUCAGGAAACUGGGGCUAAUACCGGAUAGGAGCUCCUGCUGCAUGGUGGGGGUUGGAAAGUUUCGGCGGUUGGGGAUGGACUCGCGGCUUAUCAGCUUGUUGGUGGGGUAGUGGCUUACCAAGGCUUUGACGGGUAGCCGGCCUGAGAGGGUGACCGGCCACAUUGGGACUGAGAGACGGCCCAGACUCGUACGGGAGGCAGCAGUGGGGAAUAUUGCACAAUGGGCGGAAGCCUGAUGCAGCAACGCCGCGUGCGGGAUGACGGCCUUCGGGUUGUAAACCGCUUUCGCCUGUGACGAAGCGUGAGUGACGGUAAUGGGUAAAGAAGCACCGGCUAACUACGUG